rnacentral:rRNA from 1 species
UACGGAAGGGGCAAGCGUUGUUCGGAAUCAUUGGGCGUAAAGGGCGCGUAGGUGGUUCUGUAUGUCUACCGUGAAAGCGUACGGCUCAACCGUAUUUUGUCGGUAGAAACUGCAGGACUUGAGGCUGGGAGGGGCUGGUGGAAUUCCUGGUGGAGCGGUGAAAUGCGUUGAUAUCAGGAGGAACACCGGAGGCGAAGGCGAUGCACUGGCCGAUCUCUGACGCUGAGGCGCGAAAGCCAGGGGAGCAAACGGG